AGUGAACGCUGGCGGUAGGCCUAACACAUGCAAGUCGAACGGCAGCACAGUAAGAGCUUGCUCUUACGGGUGGCGAGUGGCGGACGGGUGAGGAAUACAUCGGAAUCUACUUUUUCGUGGGGGAUAACGUAGGGAAACUUACGCUAAUACCGCAUACGACCUACGGGUGGAAGCAGGGGAUCUUCGGACCUUGCGCGAUUGAAUGAGCCGAUGUCGGAUUAGCUAGUUGGCGGGGUAAAGGCCCACCAAGGCGACGAUCCGUAGCUGGUCUGAGAGGAUGAUCAGCCACACUGGAACUGAGACACGGUCCAGACUCCUACGGGAGGCAGCAGUGGGGAAUAUUGGACAAUGGGCGCAAGCCUGAUCCAGCCAUACCGCGUGUGUGAAGAAGGCCUUCGGGUUGUAAAGCCCUUUUGUUGGGAAAGAAAAGCAGCAGGUUAAUACCCCGCUGUUCUGACGGUACCCAAAGAAUAAGCACCGGCUAACUUCGUG
rnacentral:rRNA from 1 species